ensembl:misc_RNA Metazoa_SRP Metazoan signal recognition particle RNA
ACCGGGCACGGUGGCUUGUGCCUGUAGUCCCAGCUACACAGGAGGCUGUGGUGGGAGGAUCACUUGAGCCCAGGAUUUCUGGGCUGUAGUGCGUUAUGCCAAUGUCUGCACUAAGUUCGGCAUCAAUAUGAUGAACUCCCAGGAGUGGGGGACCACCAGGUUGCCUAAGGAGGAAACUGGCCCAGGUCGGAAAUCGAGCAGGUCAAAACUCCUGUGCUGAUCAGUACUGGGAUGGUGCCUGUGAACAGCCCCUGCACUCCAGCUUGGGCAACAUGGUGAGAACUCAUCUCUA